rnacentral:lncRNA from 1 species
GCAGGCUUCUCUGGAUGCCAGUGUGGACAGAGCACCUGUGUGCGAGCAGAGGAAAUGCUCGUGUCGACCACGACCCUAAAUGCGCAGCUGAGACGCCACUCAGGCACUGAUGGCUGGAGGAAGAUGCCUUUCAGAUGUCUAGGCCAGGCCCAGGCCCUUUGCCCAAAUCCUCCAACCCUACAGGGGCCGCAGACCUCCCUGAUGGCCUGAGUCCUGUCCUGAAAACUCGUUCCCCGGACCGCAUCCCCUGACCUGAACAAACCCCUCUGCCCUGUCCUUGCCUUUGUGGACUUCUGCAGCCUGGGCAGCAUCACUGCCCUCAUUUCUAAAGGCCGCGCCCCCUACCGGCCUGUCUCCUCCACACACCCCGGGGUGAGUUUCCCUCCUCCUGCGUCUUUCCGGGUUUUCGGAGCACGCCAAGCCACAGUUUCGGAAGGAGGCUGCCACGCUGUUCUCCUGCACCGCGGCGACCCCUCUGCUCCUCUCCCAGACCCUCCUGCAUCUGAGGACACAGCUGCCACAGUGGGGGCCACGGCGGGCGCCAGCCGGGUCCUGCAGCCGGGUGUGACGGCAAGACUCCAGGAGCCCCAGCACAGCCAGCUUCCGGACUUCCGUGCCCUCUCCGUGGCAGCGUGGGGCAGGGCCCCUCCAGGAGCCGAGUGCCCGGAGGCCGAGGCCAUGACCAUCGUCCGGAGGGAGAGGAGGGUUUGUCGCCGGGUUCCCUUGCCCUGCGGUGCUGCAGAGAGGAAGGCGGUUUUCAUGGGAUGCGCUCCAGAGAGAAGUUCUGCUUUUCCUGUUCUUCACUGAGAGAAGAAAAACCCAUUUCCAGUGGUCUUGACUGGAGAAGGGACACUCCGUGGUACUCAUUUAUUAAACCACCUGCAAAGAAGGCUGUUGUCCCAGACUCUGUCCACAGCACCUGGCUGAGGAAGUGCUGGGUCCCCUUGUCCUCUCCCUUGCCCUGUCCCCUUCUCCCGUGGCUGCUUGCCUGGGCAUCC